rnacentral:rRNA from 1 species
GAUCAUGGCUCAGGAUGAACGCUAGCUACAGGCUUAACACAUGCAAGUCGAGGGGCAGCAUGGUCUUAGCUUGCUAAGGCCGAUGGCGACCGGCGCACGGGUGAGUAACGCGUAUCCAACCUGCCUUACGACUCUUGGACAGCCUUCUGAAAGGGAGAUUAAUACAAGAUGUUAUCAUGAGUAAGCAUUUCACAUGAUUAAGGUUACCGGUGUAAGAUGGGGAUGCGUU